GAUGAACGCUGGCGGCGUGCCUAAUACAUGCAAGUCGAGCGAACCACUUCGGUGGUGAGCGGCGAACGGGUGAGUAACACGUAGGUGAUCUGCCCAUCAGACGGGGACAACGAUUGGAAACGAUCGCUAAUACCGGAUAGGACGAAAGUUUAAAGGUGCUUCUGGCACCGCUGAUGGAUGAGCCUGCGGCGCAUUAGCUAGUUGGUAGGGUAAAGGCCUACCAAGGCGACGAUGCGUAGCCGACCUGAGAGGGUGAACGGCCACACUGGGACUGAGCAACGGCCCAGACUCCUACGGGAGGCAGCAGUAGGGAAUCUUCGGCAAUGGGCGAAAGCCUGACCGAGCAACGCCGCGUGAAUGAUGAAGGCCUUCGGGUUGUAAAAUUCUGUUAUAAGGGAAGAACGACUUUAGUAGGAAAUGGCUAGAGUGUGACGGUACCUUAUGAGAAAGCCACGGCUAACUACGUGCCAGCAGCCGCCGUAA
rnacentral:rRNA from 1 species